GGAUACCUCAGUUGGUUAGAGGACCCGGUUCAUACCCGGGUUGUCGUGAGUUCGAAUCUCACUCCAGCCACCA
rnacentral:tRNA from 1 species